rnacentral:lncRNA from 10 species
UUUAAAUCUAUGUUGUACAUUAACUCAUCUUAGUCUUUAGCCAUAACACAAACACACACGUGCACACAGGGGCACACACAACCACGCACACACACCAACUAAUUCAAUGAGUUUCCACUGGGUGCCCACUCUGCCAGGCUUCAUCAAGUACUGGACAAACAGACCCUUUUCUAGCCUCUCAGAGCUCAUGAUAUAAGAGGGGAGACAGACAUUAAUCAGAUCAUCUACAAAGAAAAAUACAAUCUCAAAUUGUGCUAAAUGUCAGAAAGUACCGAGAAAGAGGCACUGAGUGAGAAAAACAGCAUGGACACACUUUGGAGGGGAUGGUAGCGAAAGUCUCUAUGGGGAGUGGUUGAGAUGGAGAGGGUGAGAAGGGAGCAUCCAUGGGAGGGAUGAGGGAGAAAGCUUCCAGGCAGUGUGAAGGGAUGAGCCAAGGCCCUAACUGGGGAACCACAAACUCAAUGGGGUCACAGAUGGAAGGCCCACGUGACUGGGCCACUGUAAGUGAGAGGAAAUGGGGAGAUGGGUGGGGUCAGGUCAUGAGGGACUGCUGUGAUUUGGGGUAAUUUCCCAGUGCUCAGUGUUUGUUCCCACUGUUGUUCAUCUCUGAAUGUUCACAUUCUGCCCACUCUGUGUCUUUGCCUGAGCUGUCCCUUCCACCUGAAAAUUACGCUCUACAACAGUCUUCCCCCCACGGCUAAGUGUGAUGCAUCCUUCAAAGGUUCUGCUACCUCCUGGAUCCCCUCCACCACCUCUAGGAGAAAGAGUCUCUCCUAAGACCUGUAGCAUUUAGCUGUCUCGCAUCUGGGCUGCUUGCUCUACCUGUUCUUAGCUUCUUUUCAGCCGUGACUCCUACUUGAAGACAAGCAUCCUGAGUGUGAGGACCACGUUGAGGACCAUGUCCCAUUAUCCUCAUGUUCACUCUUCCCCUUCCCUGUGUAGUUCCCAGCCCCAGGAGGUCAGUAUGUUUUAAAUAUCUUCUCCAGAUAGAGCAGCCUGUGCAAAAGCCAUGUCUCUUGGGGGCCUCUUCAGCCUUGGAAAGUCCUCUUUGGGUAGAGUGAAGCCACCAACAGGAAUCUCCUGAUGCGUUAGUUUCCUAAACCUGGGGAGAACACCAUGUGAUGAUGAAGGCAGGAGUCAGGGUGAUGCUUCUCCAAGACAAGGAACGCCAAAGAUGGCCAGCCAGCCCUGAAGCUGG